rnacentral:Y_RNA from 1 species
AGCUGGCCUAAAGGUAGUGAGUUAUCUCAAUUGAUUGUCCACAGUCAGUUACAGAUGGUUACAAAUCUAGCUUCUUGUUCUACUGGACUUUCACUUGACAAGUCUUAA